rnacentral:rRNA from 1 species
UGGCGGACGGGUGAGUAACGCGUGGGUAACCUGCCUCAUACAGGGGGAUAACAGUUAGAAAUGACUGCUAAUACCGCAUAAGACCACGGAGCCGCAUGGCUCAGUGGGAAAAACUCCGGUGGUAUGAGAUGGACCCGCGUCUGAUUAGGUAGUUGGUGGGGCAACGGCCUACCAAGCCAACGAUCAGUAGCCGACCUGAGAGGGUGACCGGCCACAUUGGGACUGAGACACGGCCCAA